UACGGGGGGAGCAAGCGUUGUUCGGAUUUACUGGGCGUAAAGGGCGCGUAGGCGGUCAGCACAAGUCAGUUGUGAAAUCUCCGAGCUUAACUCGGAACGGUCAACUGAUACUGUGCGACUAGAGUGCGGAAGGGGCAACUGGAAUUCUCGGUGUAGCGGUGAAAUGCGUAGAUAUCGAGAGGAACACCUGCGGCGAAGGCGGGUUGCUGGGCCGACACCGACGCUGAUGCGCGAAAGCCAGGGGAGCGAACGGG
rnacentral:rRNA from 1 species